rnacentral:rRNA from 1 species
CCUACGGGAGGCAGCAGUAAGGAAUAUUGGUCAAUGGAGGCAACUCUGAACCAGCCAUGCCGCGUGCAGGAAGACGGCCCUAUGGGUUGUAAACUGCUUUUAUCUGGGAAUAAACCUAUUUACGUGUAAGUAGCUGAAUGUACCAGAAGAAUAAGGAUCGGCUAACUCCGUGCCAGCAGCCGCGGUAAUACGGAGGAUCCAAGCGUUAUCCGGAUUUAUUGGGUUUAAAGGGUGCGUAGGCGGCAGUUUAAGUCAGAGGUGAAAGACGGUAGCUCAACUAUCGCAGUGCCUUUGAUACUGAAUUGCUUGAAUGAACUAGAGGUAGGCGGAAUGAGACAAGUAGCGGUGAAAUGCAUAGAUAUGUCUCAGAACACCGAUUGCGAAGGCAGCUUACUAUGGUUUUAUUGACGCUGAGGCACGAAAGCGUGGGGAUCAAACAGGAUUAGAUACCCUGGUAGUCCACGCCCUAAACGAUGAAUACUCGCUGUUAGCGAUAUACAGUUAGCGGCUAAGCGAAAGCGUUAAGUAUUCCACCUGGGGAGUACGCGCGCGAGAGAGAACGUACAAUAGAGUAGAGGCGUGAGACGUUAGCGAGGACGACGACGAGGGGAGGUAGG